rnacentral:lncRNA from 1 species
UUACGUCACAGACCCCCGCCCCUCCCGCGGCUGCCUCGCCCCUCGCGCGGGUCAGGACUCGGCUUUCAUUCAUCGGUGGCUUCCCGGUGCUCUCCAGUCCUACGGGACGCACCCGUGCCGUCUGUGACUGGACGCGGUCCGGGUGAACAGACUUUACAGAAAGCCACGAAGUCUUUUUGACAGCAGCCUCCUCAAAUCAAGCUGACAUCAGAAAGUGCUAGAAGAGGAGGAGGAGGAAGAGGAAGAGGAAGAAAGGGUGAGGAGGAGUUUUAUUCAACUUGACAGCAGGAAAAAGUUUGAAGAAAUCUUUUCAGCCAGGGAUGAGGAAACUGAGGCACAGAGUUGAUGUGCCUGCUGCAGUCACUCGGCCGUAAGUAACCGAGACAACAAACUCAAAUAUGCAUAGGCGGGAACCCAGUUCAACCUCUUCCUUGGCUGUGGUCCCAGAACAGAGACCGUGGAAGAGAGGGGGACCUGCUGUCUUCAGGAAACCUGUCCUGGAGAAUCCAUCAGUCUUGGUCUUAGCAAAUUUGACCUUUCAUGGGCUUGCACAGGCUGAGAGACACAGGAUCAGAAUCUAUCCUCAUGGUUUCUUGUAUUUUUUUUUUUUUUUUUUUUUUUUUCUUUAAGUUUAUGAGUUCAAGGGAUUCAACUGACGUGCCAAACAGUGGUAGCCCAAGAAAAGCUAUUCUUGCAAAAUGAAAACCAGCUUGUAGUUUUUCCUGUUAUUCAUUUUGAGUUUCCUCUUCCUUACCAUUGAACACUAU